rnacentral:rRNA from 1 species
CCGGCACGGGUAAGUAACACGUAUCCAACCUGCCGUCUACUCUUGGCCAGCCUUCUGAAAGGAAGAUUAAUCCAGGAUGGCAUCAUGAGUUCACAUGUCCGCAUGAUUAAAGGUAUUUUCCGGUAGACGAUGGGGAUGCGUUCCAUUAGAUAGUAGGCGGGGUAACGGCCCACCUAGUCUUCGAUGGAUAGGGGUUCUGAGAGGAAGGUCCCCCACAUUGGAACUGAGACACGGUCCAA